AUUGAACGCUGGCGGCAUGCCUUACACAUGCAAGUCGAACGGCAGCGCGGGAGCAAUCCUGGUGGCGAGUGGCGAACGGGUGAGUAAUAUAUCGGAACGUGCCCAGUCGUGGGGGAUAACGCAGCGAAAGCUGUGCUAAUACCGCAUACGAUCUACGGAUGAAAGCGGGGGAUCGCAAGACCUCGCGCGAUUGGAGCGGCCGGUAUCAGAUUAGCUAGUUGGUGGGGUAAAGGCCCACCAAGGCGACGAUCUGUGGCGGGUCUGCGAGGACGACCAGCCAGACGGGGACUGAGACACGGUCGAGACUCGUACGGGGGGCAGCAGUGGGGAAUUUUGGACAAUGGGCGCAAGCCUGAUCCAGCAAUGCCGCGUGCAGGAUGAAGGCCUUCGGGUUGAAAACUGCUUUUGUACGGAACGAAACGGCCCUUUCUAAUACAGGGGGCUAAUGACGGUACCGUAAGAAUAAGCACCGGCUAACUACGUGCCAGCAGCCGCCGUAA
rnacentral:rRNA from 1 species